GCUUUGAUAAGGGAUGCUAUGUGGGCCAAGAACUCAUUGCUCGCACACAUCAUCGUGGGGUCAUCCGGAAACGGUUGCUUCCCCUUAAGUUUGUGAAUGACAGCGGAGAAGAGGUGGAACAAAAAGUUGCUCCAAGGUCGGAAGUAAUUGAUGCAUCAUCUGGAAAGAAAGCAGGAACUGUCACAACUGCCCUUGGAAGCCGGGGUUUGGGUCUUCUGCGCUUGGAUGACGCCUUUAAAGGCUCGUUAACAAUACGAGGUUCUGAUGAUGUAAAAGUCCAGGCAAUUAAACCAGAGUGGUGGCCUGCUGAAUGGUUAUCAGAUCAACAAGAACAGAGUGCAACUGCAUAGAGUGAACCUCUAUUUAUCGACUGUCCAUCACAUCCUGCCAAAGUUGCCUACAACUCCCUUCAUGUUUCGGAAUUCCCUUUUUUGAGGAUCAUCAGUUCUUGGAUACGAAGAAUGGUAAUAAUCAGACG
rnacentral:misc_RNA from 1 species